CCUACGGGAGGCAGCAGUGAGGAAUAUUGGUCAAUGGGCGCGAGCCUGAACCAGCCAAGUCGCGUGAAGGAUGAAUGCUCUAUGGGUUGUAAACUUCUUUUAUAAAGGAAUAAAGUGAGGAACGUGUGCCUUUUUGUAUGUACUUUAUGAAUAAGCAUCGGCUAACUCCGUGCCAGCAGCCGCGGUAAUACGGAGGAUUCGAGCGUUAUCCGGAUUUAUUGGGUUUAAAGGGUGCGUAGAUGGUUAGUUAAGUCAGUUGUGAAAGUUUGUGGCUCAACCGUAAAAUUGCAAUUGAUACUGGCAGUCUUGAGUACAUUUGAGGUAGGCGGAAUGCGUGGUGUAGCGGUGAAAUGCAUAGAUAUCACGAAGAACUCCGAUUGCGAAGGCAGCUUACUAAACUGUCACUGACAUUGAUGCACGAAAGUGUGGGGAUCAAACAGGAUUAGAUACCCUGGUAGUC
rnacentral:rRNA from 1 species